rnacentral:lncRNA from 1 species
CUUCCAUUUGCAGCAGCUCAGAUUGGGCAGGCAUUUAGAAACGAGGUUUGUUUGCUUCCAUUUUCUUCCUUUACUGUGGGUAUAAAAUUGUGCCUUGAGGCAUAGAAGAUCACAUCGUGCAAAACUGCCGUGUGUAAUGAAGAUCUGAGCUGCAUUAUCUUGUUAUUGAUUUUAUGUGUUAAAAGUUGGUGUUUUAGUACACAUGCAUGAACCAUGAUUCUUGGUGGAUGUAUUUCUUUUCUUUUUGCUAAGAGAAAGUGGAUGCAUUUCCUUAAUGCUUGAUUGCAUACUAGGUCUCAUUUAAUUGAUUUGUCUAUUCUAUGGGCUGAGCAUCCCAAGUUAAAGAAAGAUAACUCUUUCAUUGCUGUUUGCUCAGGUCCUAGUAUUGGCGUAUGUGAACUUAAUGCGAGUUGAUACCAUGAAUUUGAAGGCCUCAUCCAAUCAAAUUAUUGACUUGAACCAUAGCAUGCAGAAAGACUUAACAUGAAUCGGGAAUUUGGGAUAGUUAAGUUGUUGGCUUAACCUAAUUAGAUACAAAAUAUGGCUUCAGCGCAGUUAACCUAUAGGACUAGGCUAAUUUGUUUUGUAUCAUAUAAAAGAUUUAGUUGUUACGAAAUGAGUCUGCAAGCACAAGAUUGAAAAUUCAAAUUUAAGUAACUUGCACAUUUUAUACAUAAGGUUCUUAGUGUGCUUUAUGAGGAUUGGGUUCUAAUUUAUCUAGUUGCUCUGAGAAACUUUCCUUAGAGGAUUGUGUUCUAAAGAUGAAUAUCGUUCCCUAAUUUAAACCAUGUCAAAGUCCUAUUUUAUCCAUUCUCUUUCCAAGUCUUGUAGAACCUUAGAGGCUUGCUCUCGAUUACAUGCUCCUGAAUUCCAUAGCCAUGUGGCCUUUUAGUUAUUUUUGGUAGAUGACUCUCGCCUCUAGUUGAAUUGGAUAAAAUCAAUAUAGAGAUGGCAUUUGGUUAUCAAAUUUUGAUGGAUCAUACCUUGAUUCCUCAAGCCAAUGCUAUGUAGAUGCGAGAAUGCUUGCCUUAGUUAAGCUCAACCUGUCUAUGGACAUCUAUGCUUGAUCUAAAAUUUGAUAAUCAUUCAAUAUGCAUAUGUUGAUGCAAAUAUAUAAGUUUUUGGUUCAUACACAAAUUUGGGACAAAAAACUGGGACAUCAUGUGGAUGGUACUCUUUUCCCUCUCCUUUGACCACGGUUCUUUCUCUUGUUGUCACUCCCACAUUCCGUGUUCCUCUUUGAUUUAUGCAAUGGAGGUGCUAAUUUGGCUGGUUGAACAUGGGUCAAAGCAAGAAUUUUAUAUAAUU